rnacentral:rRNA from 1 species
GCAAGUGAGCGAGGAUCGGGUCGUCGCAUCCUUAGUGGCGCGCUACAUCGGCGCCCGGAUGUAGUGGAAAAUGAGCAAGGGUCUUUGCAUUUGACUCGACGAGUGCGAAGGGUAAGGAAGCUAGCCGAGCCUAGGAGGAUUCGCUUAGGUAGCUGGAACGUAGGGUCUCUGACAGGGAAGCUUCGGGAGCUAGUUGAUGCAGCAGUGAGGAGAGGUGUUGAUAUCCUUUGCGUCCAAGAAACCAAAUGGAGAGGACAGAAGGCGAAGGAGGUGGAGGAUACCGGCUUCAAGUUGUGGUACACGGGGACGGCUGCAAACAGAAAUGGCGUAGGCAUCUUGAUCAACAAGAGCCUCAAGUAUGGAGUGGUAGACGUCAGGAGACGUGGGGACCGGAUUAUCCUGGUCAAGCUGGUAGCUGAGGACUUGGUUCUCAAUGUUAUCAGCGCAUAUGCCCCGCAAGUAGGCCACAAUGAGAACACCAAGAGGGAGUUCUGGGAAGGCUUGGAAGACAUGGUUAGGAGUGUACCGAUUGGUGAGAAGCUCUUCAUAGGAGGAGACCUCAAUGGCCACGUGGGUACAUCUAACACAGGUUUUGAAGGGGCACAUGGGGGCUUUGGCUAUGGCAUCAGGAAUCAAGAAGGAGAAGAUGUCUUAAGCUUUGCUCUAGCCUACAACAUGAUUGUAGCUAACACCCUCUUUAGAAAGAGAGAAUCACAUCUGGUGACUUUUAGUAGUGGCCAACACUCUAGCCAGAUUGAUUUCAUCCUCUCGAGAAGAGAAGAUAGGCAUGCGUGCCUAGACUGUAAGGUGAUACCUGGGGAGAGUGUUGUACCCCAGCAUAAGCUGGUGGUUGCUGACUUCCGCUUUCGGAUUCGUGUCCAGCGGGAUAAGCGUGCCAAGGUCGCUAGAACGAAGUGGUGGAAGCUCAAGGGGGAGGUAGCUCAGGUGUUCAAGGAGAGGGUAUUUAAGGAGGGCCCUUGGGAGGAAGGAGGGGAUGCGGACAAUAUGUGGAUGAAGAUGGCGACUUGCAUUCGUAAGGUGGCCUCGAAGGAGUUUGGAGUGUCCAGGGGAAGGAGAAGCGAAGAUAAGGAUACCUGGUGGUGGAAUGAUGAUGUCCAGAAGGCGCUUAAAGAGAAGAAAGAUUGUUUCAGACGCCUAUACCUGGAUAGGAGUGCAGACAACAUAGAGAAGUACAGGAUGGCGAAGAAGGCCGCAAAGCGAGCU